GACGAACCGUGCGAACGUUGUUCGGAAUAACUGGGCAUAAAGGGCGCGUAGGCGGGCCCGAAAGUCAGGGGUGAAAUCCCACGGCUCAACCGUGGAAGCGCCUUUGAUACUGCGGGCCUGGAGGGAGGCAGGGGAGUGCGGAACUUCCGGUGGAGCGGUGAAAUGCGUAGAUAUCGGAAGGAACACCGGUGGCGAAAGCGGCGCUCUGGACCUCUACUGACGCUGAGGCGCGAAAGCCAGGGGAGCAAAAGGG
rnacentral:rRNA from 1 species